rnacentral:rRNA from 1 species
GGCGAGUGAAGCGGCAAGAGCUCAAMWUUGAAAGCUGGCUCCUUCGGGGUCCGCAUUGUAAUUUGCAGAGGAUGCUUCGGGAGCGGCCCCMAUCUAAGUGCCCUGGAACGGGCCGUCAUAGAGGGUGAGAAUCCCGUCUGGGAUGGGGUGCCCGCGACCAUGUGAAGCUCCUUCGACGAGUCGAGUUGUUUGGGAAUGCAGCUCUAAAUGGGUGGUAAAUUUCAUCUAAAGCUAAAUAUUGGCCGGAGACCGAUAGCGCACAAGUAGAGUGAUCGAAAGAUGAAAAGCACUUUGAAAAGAGAGUUAAAAAGCACGUGAAAUUGUUGAAAGGGAAGCGCUUGCGACUAGACUCGCCCACGGGGUAACAGCCGCUAUUCGUAGCGGUGCACUUCCCCGUGGUCGGGCCAGCGUCGGUUUGGGCGGCCGGUCAAAGGCCCUCGGAAUGUAACGCCUCUCGGGGCGUCUUAUAGCCGGGGGUGCCAUGCGGCCAGCCCAGACCGAGGAUCGCGCUUCGGCACGGACGCUGGCUUAAUGGUCGUAAGCGACCCGUCUUGAAACACGGACCAAGGAGUCUAACAUCUACGCGAGUGUUCGGGUGUCAAACCCGUGCGCGCAGUGAAAGCGAACGGAGGUGGGAACCCUUUGGGUGCACCAUCGACCGAUCCUGAUGUCUUCGGAUGGAUUUGAGUAAGAGCGUAGCUGUUGGGACCCGAAAGAUGGUGAACUAUGCCUGAAUAGGGCGAAGCCAGAGGAAACUCUGGUGGAGGCUCGCAGCGGUUCUGACGUGCAAAUCGAUCGUCAAAUUUGGGUAUAGGGGCGAAAGACUAAUCGAACCAUCUAGU